rnacentral:rRNA from 1 species
AGUGAACGCUGGCGGUAGGCCUAACACAUGCAAGUCGAACGGCAACACAGUAAGAGCUUGCUCUUACGGGUGGCGAGUGGCGGACGGGUGAGGAGUACAUCGGAAUCUACUUUUUCGUGGGGGAUAACGUAGGGACACUUACGCUAAUCCCGCAUCCGACCUACGGGUGAAAGCAGGGGAUCUUCGGACCUUGCGCGAUUGAAUGAGCCGAUGUCGGAUUAGCUAGUUGGCGGGGUAAAGGCUCACCAAGGCGACGAUCCGUAGCUGGUCUGAGAGGAUGAUCAGCCACACUGGAACUGAGACACGGUCCAGACUCCUACGGGAGGCAGCAGUGGGGAAUAUUGGACAAUGGGCGCAAGCCUGAUCCAGCCAUACCGCGUGGGUGAAGAAGGCCUUCGGGUUGUAAAGCCCUUUUGUUGGGAAAGAAAAGCAGAAGGUUAAUACCCCGCUGUUCUGACGGUACCCAAAGAAUAAGCACCGGCUAACUUCGUG